UACGUAGGUGGCGAGCGUUGUCCGGAAUUACUGGGCGUAAAGCGCGCGUAGGCGGGAGGCCAAGUCCGCUGUGAAAUCGCCCGGCUCAACUGGGCGCGGUCGGUGGAAACUGGUCACCUGGAGGACGGUAGAGGCGAGUGGAAUUCCCGGUGUAGUGGUGAAAUGCGUAGAGAUCGGGAGGAACACCAGUGGCGAAGGCGGCUCGCUGGGCCGGCCCUGACGCUGAGGCGCGAAGGCGUGGGGAGCGAACGGG
rnacentral:rRNA from 1 species